UGAAUACGAGACGCUAAGGCGUCGAAGUAGUGUAUAUCAGACUUCCAAGAAAAGCUUGCACUGUCAUAGAUAAAAAAUGCCUGUACCAUAACCGACACAGGUGGGUAGGUAGAGUAUACUAAGGGGCGCGAGAUAACUCUCUCUAAGGAACUCGGCAAAAUAACUCCGUAACUUCGGGAGAAGGAGUGCCUUAUUUAUAAGGUUGCAAUAACAAGAUCCAAGCAACUGUUUAUCAAAAACACAGGUCUCCGCUAAGUCGUAAGACGAUGUAUGGGGGCUGACGCCUGCCCAGUGCCAGAAGGUUAAAGAAGUUGGUUAGCAAUUGCGAAGCUGAUAACUGAAGCCCUGGUGAACGGCGGCCGUAACAAUAACGGUCCUAAGGUAGCGAAAUUCCUUGUCGGGUAAGUUCCGACCCGCACGAAAGGCGUAAUGAUUUGGAUACUGUCUCGGAGAGGGGCUCGGUGAAAUAGACUUGUCUGUGAAGAUGCGGACUACCUGCACCAGGACAGAAAGACCCUAUGAAGCUUUACUGUAACUUGAAAUUGAAAUUGGACUUUAUUCGCGCAGCAUAGGUGGGAGGCGUUGAUUAUAAUCUUGCGGGAUUAUUGGAGCCAUCAGUGAGAUACCACUCUUGUAAUGUUAGAUUUCUAACUUUGAAUCAUUAUCUGGUCAAAGAACAGUUUCAGGCGGGCAGUUUGACUGGGGCGGUCGCCUCCUAAAUGGUAACGGAGGCGUACAAAGGUUUCCUCUGAACGGUUAGAAAUCGUAUCUAGAGUGUAAAGGCAUAAGGAAGCUUGACUGUGAGACCUACAAGUCGAGCAGGGACGAAAGUCGGUCUUAGUGAUCUGACGGUACUGAGUGGAAAGGCCGUCACUCAACGGAUAAAAGUUACUCUAGGAUAACAGGCUGAUCUCCCCCAAGAGUUCACAUCGACGGGGAGGUUUGGCACCUCGAUGUCGGCUCAUCGCAUCCUGGGGCGGUAGUACGUCCCAAGGGUUGGGCUGUUCGCCCAUGAAAGCGGUACGCGAGCUGGGUUCAGAACGUCGUGAGACAGUUCGGUCCAUAUCCGGUGUAGGCGUUAGAAUAUUGAGAGGAGCCUUCUUUAGUACGAGAGGACCGAGAAGGACAUACCUCUGGUGUACCAGUUAUCGUGCCAACGGUAAACGCUGGGUAGCUAUGUAUGGAGUGGAUAACCGCUGAAAGCAUCUAAGUGGGAAGCCCACCUCAAGAUAAGUAUUCU
rnacentral:rRNA from 1 species